rnacentral:rRNA from 1 species
AAUCAACGCUGGCGGCGUGCCUCAGACAUGCAAGUCGAACGAUUAAACUUUCCUUCGGGAAAGAUAUAAAGUGGCGCACGGGUGAGUAACACGUAGGUAAUGUACCUUUGGGUGGGGAAGUAACUUAGGGAACUUAAGCUAAUACCGCAUAAUGCAGCGGCUCCUUCGGGAGAUUGGUUGUUAAAGAUUAUCGCCUAAAGAGCAGCCUGCGGCAGAUUAGCUAGUUGGUAAGGUAACGGCUUACCAAGGCAACGAUCUGUAUCCGACCUGAGAGGUGGUCGGACGACACUGACACUGAAUAACGGGUCAGACUCCUACGGGAGGCAGCAGUCGGGAAUUUUGGGU